rnacentral:rRNA from 1 species
UACGUAGGGUGCAAGCGUUAAUCGGAAUUACUGGGCGUAAAGCGUGCGCAGGCGGUUGUGCAAGACAGAUGUGAAAUCCCCGGGCUCAACCUGGGGACUGCAUUUGUGACUGCACGGCUGGAGUGGCGGCAGAGGGGGAUGGAAUUCCGCGUGUAGCAGUGAAAUGCGUAGAUAUGCGGAGGAACACCGAUGGCGAAGGCAAUCCCCUGGGCCUGCACUGACGCUCAGGCACGAAAGCGUGGGGAGCAAACAGG